ACUCCUACGGGAGGCAGCAGUAGGGAAUCUUCGGCAAUGGACGAAAGUCUGACCGAGCAACGCCGCGUGAGUGAAGAAGGUUUUCGGAUCGUAAAACUCUGUUGUUAGAGAAGAACAAGGACGUUAGUAACUGAACGUCCCCUGACGGUAUCUAACCAGAAAGCCACGGCUAACUACGUGCCAGCAGCCGCGGUAAUACGUAGGUGGCAAGCGUUGUCCGGAUUUAUUGGGCGUAAAGCGAGCGCAGGCGGUUUCUUAAGUCUGAUGUGAAAGCCCCCGGCUUAACCGGGGAGGGUCAUUGGAAACUGGGAGACUUGAGUGCAGAAGAGGAGAGUGGAAUUCCAUGUGUAGCGGUGAAAUGCGUAGAUAUAUGGAGGAACACCAGUGGCGAAGGCGGCUCUCUGGUCUGUAACUGACGCUGAGGCUCGAAAGCGUGGGGAGCAAACAGGAUUAGAUACCCUGGUAGUCCACGC
rnacentral:rRNA from 1 species